AUGCAACUCACUAUAGAGUUUGUUCUGAUCAUUUCAUUACAGGGAAACCUGCUAAAUUAUUCGAGAAAUCUCACCCAGAUUGGAUACCGAAUCAAUCCAUGGGUUAU